rnacentral:rRNA from 1 species
GUUGUAUGGUUAAGUGACUAAGCGUACACGGUGGAUGCCUUGGCAGUCAGAGGCGAUGAAAGACGUAGUAACUUGCGAUAAGCCCAGAUUAGGUAGCAACAACCAUUUGAGUCUGGGAUUUCUGAAUGGGGAAACCCACGUGCAUAAGCACGUAUCCUUACCUGAAUACAUAGGGUAAGGAGGCGAACCGGGGGAACUGAAACAUCUAAGUACCCGAGGAAAAGAAAUCAACCGAGAUUCCGAAAGUAGCGGCGAGCGAAAUUGGACUAGCCCUUAAGCUUUACACGCGUUAGACGAACGGUCUGGAAAGUCCGACGAUACAGGGUGAUAGUCCCGUAGUUGACGACGUGUGUUCAGUGAAAUCGAGUAGGGCGGGACACGUGAUAUCCUGUCUGAAUAUGGGGGGACCAUCCUCCAAGGCUAAAUACUACUGACUGACCGAUAGUGAACCAGUACCGUGAGGGAAAGGCGAAAAGAACCCCUGUGAGGGGAGUGAAAUAGAACCUGAAACCGUGUACGUACAAGCAGUAGGAGCAGGCUUUGUCCUGUGACUGCGUACCUUUUGUAUAAUGGGUCAGCGACUUAUAUUCAGUGGCAAGGUUAACCAUCUAGGGGAGCCGUAGGGAAACCGAGUCUUAACUGGGCGUUCAGUCUCUGGAUAUAGACCCGAAACCAGGUGAUCUAGCCAUGGGCAGGUUGAAGGUUGAGUAACAUCAACUGGAGGACCGAACCGACUAAUGUUGAAAAAUUAGCGGAUGACUUGUGGCUAGGGGUGAAAGGCCAAUCAAACCUGGAGAUAGCUGGUUCUCCCCGAAAGCUAUUUAGGUAGCGCCUCGGACGAAUACUACUGGGGGUAGAGCACUGUUAAGGCUAGGGGGUCAUCCCGACUUACCAACCCUUUGCAAACUCCGAAUACCAGUAAGUACUAUCCGGGAGACACACGGCGGGUGCUAACGUCCGUCGUGGAGAGGGAAACAACCCAGACCGCCAGCUAAGGUCCCAAAUUACUACUAAGUGGGAAACGAUGUGGGAAGGCUCAGACAGCCAGGAUGUUGGCUUAGAAGCAGCCAUCAUUUAAAGAAAGCGUAAUAGCUCACUGGUCGAGUCGGCCUGCGCGGAAGAUGUAACGGGGCUAAGUAGUAAACCGAAGCUGCGGCAAUGUGCUUUUGCACAUUGGGUAGGGGAGCGUUCUGUAAGCGGUUGAAGGUGUGUGGUAACGCAUGCUGGACGUAUCAGAAGUGCGAAUGCUGACAUGAGUAACGAUAAAGGGGGUGAAAAACCUCCUCGCCGGAAGACCAAGGGUUCCUGUCCAACGUUAAUCGGGGCAGGGUAAGUCGACCCCUAAGGCGAGGCCGAAAGGCGUAGUCGAUGGGAAACGGGUUAAUAUUCCCGUACUUCUUACAAUUGCGAUGGGGGGACGGAGAAGGCUAGGUGGGCCUGGCGACGGUUGUCCAGGUUCAAGUGCGUAGGCUUAAGAGUUAGGUAAAUCCGGCUCUUUUUAAGGCUGAGACACGACGUCGAGCACCUACGGGUGUGAAGUCAUUGAUGCCAUGCUUCCAGGAAAAGCCUCUAAGCUUCAGAUUGUAAGGAAUCGUACCCCAAACCGACACAGGUGGUCGGGUAGAGAAUACCAAGGCGCUUGAGAGAACUCGGGUGAAGGAACUAGGCAAAAUGGUACCGUAACUUCGGGAGAAGGUACGCUCUUGAUGGUGAAGUCCCUUGCGGAUGGAGCUGACGAGAGUCGCAGAUACCAGGUGGCUGCAACUGUUUAUUAAAAACACAGCACUGUGCAAAAUCGUAAGAUGACGUAUACGGUGUGACGCCUGCCCGGUGCCGGAAGGUUAAUUGAUGGGGUUAGACUUCGGUCGAAGCUCUUGAUCGAAGCCCCGGUAAACGGCGGCCGUAACUAUAACGGUCCUAAGGUAGCGAAAUUCCUUGUCGGGUAAGUUCCGACCUGCACGAAUGGCGUAAUGAUGGCCACGCUGUCUCCACCCGAGACUCAGUGAAAUUGAAAUCGCUGUGAAGAUGCAGUGUACCCGCGGCUAGACGGAAAGACCCCGUGAACCUUUACUACAGCUUGGCACUGAACAUUGACCCUACAUGUGUAGGAUAGGUGGGAGGCUUUGAAGCACGUACGCCAGUAUGUGUGGAGCCGUCCUUGAAAUACCACCCUUGUAGUGUUGAUGUUCUAACGUCGACCCCUUAUCGGGGUUGCGGACAGUGCCUGGUGGGUAGUUUGACUGGGGCGGUCUCCUCCCAAAGAGUAACGGAGGAGCACGAAGGUGGGCUAAUCACGGUUGGACAUCGUGAGGUUAGUGCAAUGGCAUAAGCCCGCUUGACUGCGAGAAUGACAAUUCGAGCAGGUGCGAAAGCAGGUCAUAGUGAUCCGGUGGUUCUGAAUGGAAGGGCCAUCGCUCAACGGAUAAAAGGUACUCCGGGGAUAACAGGCUGAUACCGCCCAAGAGUUCAUAUCGACGGCGGUGUUUGGCACCUCGAUGUCGGCUCAUCACAUCCUGGGGCUGAAGUCGGUCCCAAGGGUAUGGCUGUUCGCCAUUUAAAGUGGUACGCGAGCUGGGUUUAGAACGUCGUGAGACAGUUCGGUCCCUAUCUGCCGUGGGCGUUGGAAGAUUGAAGGGGGCUGCUCCUAGUACGAGAGGACCGGAGUGGACGAACCUCUGGUGUUCGGGUUGUGUCGCCAGACGCAUUGCCCGGUAGCUAAGUUCGGAAUCGAUAACCGCUGAAAGCAUCUAAGCGGGAAGCGAGCCCUGAGAUGAGUCUUCCCUGAUACUUUAAGUAUCCUAAAGGGUUGUCGGAGACUACGACGUUGAUAGGUCAGGUGUGUAAGUGCUGUGAGGCAUUGAGCUAACUGAUACUAAUUGCCCGUGAGGCUUAACCAUACAACACCCAAGGGGUUU